rfam:Rattus norvegicus chromosome 1, whole genome shotgun sequence.
GGAGAGAUGGCUCAGUGGUUAAGAGCACUGGCUGCUCUUCCAGAGGACUUGGGUUCAAUUCCCAGCACCC